GUAGCACUGCUUCUAACAGUCUUCGGACAA
rnacentral:rRNA from 1 species